GCGACUCCAGCUCCUGGAAGACCAAGAAGUAGGAAGCCUGCUUUCUCAGGCUCAAAGUUGUUUCUCGACCUCGUGUACGAAGCGUGACCGGAGCAGUUACCUGCAUAAAAGCACUGGAGUGUGGAACUUAAAAUGAGAGUGUCCCUCGGAAGUGGAAUCGGACUUAACCAAAAUUUUCAACCGCAGUAUUCUCUCGAUUGAAGAUUGAAGAGAGAAUCGGUACGAGGAGCAGCGGAAGAUUAUAAGUAGCGUCGGAGGUGGCAAAAGGCGAGUCGUGGUGUGGAAUACUGGGACGCGUGGAACAAGACCACAUGCAUUGGGCGUGGGAAGUGCAUACCUUUUCAUACGGUUCUAAUCCAGGCAGCGUAGCAUCAAGCCAAUGGAUUCAUUCUUGAUUAUUUGACUCCACCAAGUCGAGACAAUUGAUUGCUAACAUAACAUUUGGUCCAAUUAUUACAUUAAGGAUUUAAUUUCUGCACAGUCCUUGAUAUUUACAGACCAUUUUAGCUUUUCUUUCCAGAGCGAUUUUAGUCUCUGAAUCCAGCUGUUGUCUGUCCUUGGUAGCUGCGACUUGCGAGCCAGCGGGGAGCAUCAAAUGAUCACGAGGCCACGAUGAACAAAGGGGUUAGAAAGGUCCAACCAUUUCCCCCCCGGCUCUUGGAUGCUCAAAUGGAUAAACCGUUUGGGCCCAAACUGUGCAUAGAAGAAUUGGGUCCUCGGAAAGGGCAUCAGUAAAGAUGGGACUACUGAGCCAGUUGACAGCUAACCUCUCGUGGGCCCAAAUGAUGUUCCGACGUCUGUGCCAACCUGCAAGUGCAGAUUCGGAUCCUUUCGCAGCUGCACUUGUACUAGCAGAGCAGUUGAUUUAAAAUUUUAUUGGGAUCUUAAAUCAUCGAUCAAGAUCCAAUUCAAGCUCGGACGGAAAAAACCACACUUCAACAACUGUGGAUCCGUAUACUUGCACAAAAUGCGGCAACGAGUCCUGGGACGAUACUGAUUGAACUGUCAGAAGAAGCAAUGCCAAAGGCGUGUUUGUCGUGCGAGUUGGAACUGCCCUUUUUUUUUUCCCUGGAAUUAUUCUAAUUUGUACAAAGGGAAU